rnacentral:misc_RNA from 1 species
UCCGGCUUCUCGCCGGCAGUCCUCUUCGAGUGCCCGACAUGACCCGCUGGUAACUAGUGAUAGGGGUUGCGCUCGUUGCGGGACUUAACCUAACAUCUCACGACACGAGCUGACGACAGCCAUGCAUCACCUGUCACCGAGUUCCUUGCGGCACAGUCUGGUUUCCCAGACCUUCUCGGGAUGUCAAACCUUGGUAAGGUUCUUCGCGUAUCCUCGAAUUAAACCACACGCUCCACCGCUUGUGCGGGUCCCCGUCAAUUCCUUUGAGUUUUAAGCUUGCGCUCGUACUCCCCAGGCGGAAUGCUUAACGCGUUAGCUUCGCUACCGAGCCGGUCGAUAGGCCCAACAGCUAGCAUUCAUCGUUUACGGCGUGGACUAC